rnacentral:misc_RNA from 1 species
UUCGAGCGUCAUUACAACCCUCAAGCUCUGCUUGGUAUUGGGAGUUUACCGCAACGGUGCUCCUCAAAGUCAGUGGCGGCGCCUCUCGGCUUCAAGCGUAGUAAUUCUUCUCGCUCUGGACACCGGGUGGAUGCUUGCCAGCAACCCCCAAUUUUUAUAAGGUUGACCUCGGAUCAGGUAGGGAUACCCGCUGAACUUAA